CAAAGGAGUAGUGGGACAUUCAAGGUAUUCACUUUUUCUAAUUAUAAGGAAAACCACAGGAAUCUAGCAUCAAGCACAUGACCGGCAGCUGCAAAAGAUCAGCUAAACAUUUAAAGAUCUUUCACCUGCUCCUACACGUGUGGCAAUUCAGAAGAAAAUGCCACUGGAUUCAGGCUUCCUCUAGAGAGGGCCAAAGACUUCGAAACCAAUGAACAGCAAAAACUUCUGGUGACCAGAGCAUUUCUUAAUAUUUCCCUUUUUUUUUAAAGUUAAUGUAAACAGGUCAGUGAACAGACACCUGGAAUGGCCUCUAAGCACAGAGGGAGAGUUCAAAUAAUUGAUGCGUGUUAAUCUGAAUUACUCUUCAGUGACCUCAGAACUGGAGGCGACUAUGGUUUAUGACAUUCCCUUGAGAAGUGUCUCGUUUCAUUCAGUGACAUUUUGAACACACACGUGUUCCCUGUCUGCAGCACCCAGGUGCUCUUCACCUAAGAUACCCCGUCUUCUGCUAAACCAGUACACCAGUUUCCACGAGCAGUUUCCCGAGGCUUCUGCACUCCUCAGCAUGCUCUCAGAUUGUUUCCCCUGCCGGAGAACUAGCACCGUGUUCUUCAGUACCAGCAUGGUCUCCUGGCCAGCCCCUAGGUGCAAUCCUCCAACACGGUGACACUCAGCAACCUAGGGCCAAGUUUACCCACUUGUCUCCCUAUACACAAUGCUCCUGCACCUGCUCACCUACCAGGGGCCGUCCCGCCCCAGCAGCCUACCCUGUCUGCCACAGCUCUGCUUCCUGGCGUUCCCACCUCCGCCUCAAGCUUUGCCUUUCCUCUCAAGCUCCCCGCCCUGCUCUAAUCUUGCCCUUCCUUGGCUCAGCUCCAGUUCCACCUCCCCCAAUACUCCCCCUGUGGCCUCUCUAACCCAUACACCUUCCCUGAAGGCCUGCGACACCAAUAAAUGAAAGGGCACAUUGAUACUGGUUGUUCUCUGAUGCCUUCAAGUAUUUCUCUUGCCUCCACAGGAAGAUCUUUAACUCUUUUUCCAGAUCUCACGAAGCCAGGCAGAUUGGCGGGGACAUGGAGCCAUCAGCCAACAUCGGAGCAACCAAAUUAGAAAGCUCUAAAACCAAAAGUGGAUUUUACAAAUCUGGUGCAUAAUUGACUUGAACCCCACAAGGGCAGACACACUGUAAGCUGGAAUAUUCACAAGACGGGGCAACGUGCAAGGCUGGAGACAGUGUCUAUGGAGAUGAGGCAAUGAGAUGUGUGGACAACUGGAAGCCUGUGAAAGAAGAGACCUGUGCAGCCAAACAAGGUUUGGGAACCAGCACAGUAGCUGCUUGGAUAGAGGAAAUUUUUCAGAGGCUUGUCGGCUGGGAAGGAUCAGAGAAUCUAAAAGGAUUACUUGUCAAGGACCCGGCUCCAUCAAUUACAAUAGAAGAAAACCUGUUUAGCGAAAACUACCUUAUUGUGGGGAAAAAAUGACUUUGGAACAUUCGAAAUACCUUGACCUAUGAUGCAAUGUCCUCCAAGGAGACUGAGCUAGCAAUUCUUCACUGGCAAUGAAGUCACCCAUCGCCUUACUGAGGGUACAGGUAAGUAAGAGCUACAGAUUGAUUGACUGCAAUGAAUAACACCCACAAGUCAUGAACAUCAGCAGAAAUCCAAGGAAUCCAAUUCUGCUGCAUUGUUUUCUACCUAUCAGAGGCAACAGCUACACCACCUAUGUCAGAACCACGGCUGCUGUAAGUUUUCCUCUGCAAACUGCUUCCCAGUGGACAAGAUUUUAGCAUUUUUGUUCAACAGAUCUACUGGGGUCCUAUGUGAUCCACAUACAUUUGGACUCCAUUCCUUAGGACCUGAGACCACAGUAAAGGCAUUGCCUCCUAUUAAGAGCCCAGAGUAGAGUUUCAAUGACUCCAUAGCAACUUUGGUUAAAAGGAAUCUUAAUGAGCAUUUACUUAGAACCUAUGAUAUUUAAUACUGUAUAGCUGGUAUGCAGAGAUAAAGGGGGAAAAGACAAGAAGAGAACAUACAAUGAGAACUUAUAAAUGCUAAGGAAACAAAACACAGUAAGGAGCAAAUGGUAAGAUUAAUUGUGUGGAAUUCCUAGAGGAAGAGUUUGUAAUCUUUAUAAGAAAGAAGAUGAAUCAACCGGGCACG
rnacentral:lncRNA from 10 species